UACAGAGGCCUCGAGCGUUGUUCGGAAUUACUGGGCGUAAAGCGCACGUAGGCGGCUUUGUAAGUUAGAGGUGAAAAGCCCAGGGCUUAACCCUGGAAUUGCCUUUAAGACUGCAUCGCUAGAAUCGUGGAGAGGUGAGUGGAAUUCCGAGUGUAGAGGUGAAAUUCGUAGAUAUUCGGAAGAACACCAGUGGCGAAGGCGACUCACUGGACACGUAUUGACGCUGAGGUGGCGAAAGCGA
rnacentral:rRNA from 1 species